GAUGAACGCUAGCGGCAGGCUUAAUACAUGCAAGUCGAGGGGUAGCAAGAUUGUAGCAAUACAAUUGUUGACGACCGGCAAACGGGUGCGGAACACGUACACAACCUUCCUACAAGUGGGGAAUAGCCCAGAGAAAUUUGGAUUAAUACCCCGUAACAUAGCGAUGUGGCAUCACAUUGCUAUUAUAGCUUCGGGGCUUGUUGAUGGGUGUGCGGCUGAUUAGAUAGUUGGCGGGGUAACGGCCCACCAAGUCUACGAUCAGUAGCUGAUGUGGGAGCAUGAUCAGCCACACGGGCACUGAGACACGGGCCCGACUCCUACGGGAGGCAGCAGUAAGGAAUAUUGGACAAUGGACGCAAGUCUGAUCCAGCCAUGCCGCGUGAAGGAUUAAGGUCCUCUGGAUUGUAAACUUCUUUUAUAAGGGACGAAAAAAGGUCUUUCUAGAUCGUCUGACGGUACCUUAUGAAUAAGCACCGGCUAACUCCGUGCCAGCAGCCGCCGUAAUAC
rnacentral:rRNA from 1 species